rnacentral:rRNA from 1 species
AGACCAGGACGUUGAUAGGCUGGGUGUGGAAGCGCAGUAAUGCGUUAAGCUAACCAGUACUAAUUGCCCGUGAGGCUUGACC